AGUGAACGCUGGCGGUAGGCCUAACACAUGCAAGUCGAACGGCAGCACGGUAAGAGCUUGCUCUUACGGGUGGCGAGUGGCGGACGGGUGAGGAAUACAUCGGAAUCUACUUUUUCGUGGGGGAUAACGUAGGGAAACUUACGCUAAUACCGCAUACGACCUACGGGUGAAAGCAGGGGAUCUUCGGACCUUGCGCGAUUGAAUGAGCCGAUGUCGGAUUAGCUAGUUGGCGGGGUAAAGGCCCACCAAGGCGACGAUCCGUAGCUGGUCUGAGAGGAUGAUCAGCCACACUGGAAUGGAGACACGGUCCAGACCCCUACGGGAGGCAGCAGUGGGGAAUAUUGGACAAUGGGCGCAAGCAUGAUCCAGCCAUACCGCGUGGGUGAAGAAGGCCUUCGGGUUGUAAAGCCCUUUUGUUGGGAAAGAAAAGCAGCAGGUUAAUACCCCGCUGUUCUGACGGUACCCAAAGAAUAAGCACCGGCUAACUUCGUG
rnacentral:rRNA from 1 species